rnacentral:RNase_P_RNA from 2 species
GAAGCUCAUCAGCAGAGGCUGCUNUGUCCCUAACCGGGGAGNUGAGUUUCCAGAGAGCAAGGCUCUACAUGUGGGCAGCCUGGGCAGGAGAGGUCCCAAGUGGGUAGGUGCAUCCCUUGCUAGAGCUUGGAACAGACUUACUUC